rnacentral:rRNA from 1 species
UACGGAGGGUGCGAGCGUUGUCCGGAAUCACUGGGCGUAAAGGGCGCGUAGGUGGCUCGUGAAGCGUGCGGUGAAAGUCCGAGGCUUAACCUCGGAUCGGCCGUGCGGACUCGCGGGCUCGAGCGUUGUAGAGGCGGGUGGAAUUCCGGGUGUAGCGGUGGAAUGCGUAGAGAUCCGGAAGAACACCGGUGGCGAAGGCGGCCCGCUGGGCAGUGGCUGACGCUGAGGCGCGACAGCGUGGGGAGCAAACAGG